rnacentral:rRNA from 1 species
GAAGGGUAAAAAUGUAACAAGGUUU